rnacentral:rRNA from 1 species
AGGGCAUUUGGUGGAUGCCUUGGCAUGCACAGGCGAUGAAGGACGUGAUAUGCUGCGAUAAGCUAUGGGGAGCUGCAAAUAAGCAUUGAUCCGUAGAUUUCCGAAUGGGGUAACCCGCCUUAUGUGCCUAGGAAACUGAACUAAGUUGGUUUAAUUUUCUAGGUAUUUUGAAGGUAUCUUUAUCUGAAUGAA